UGGGACAUCACUGAGGCCAAAUGAAGUUGAUGGUUGUGUGCGGCCAAAGGUGAAAUGAAAUCAGGUGGAUCCCACAUAAAUGGAGUGCACUUUGGAAGAAGGAAGCACUUGUGGGCAUUUGGAUUUUCAGAAUUAUGGAGGAGAAUUGUAAACAAGAUGAUUUGAAAUAGCAAUACAGGCAAUGAAGACAAUCAAAGGGGGAAAUGAGAUCUAUAAGGAGGCAGGAACAGAGCAGCUCAGUGCUGCAGCUGGGACUGCAUCGGAUCAAGAAUGUAUGUUGCCGGAGUCUCCCUUGAGAAGUAUGGGGGAAGCUGGUGUCUGGUGCAGAGAGAAGGAUGCAAGCUUUGGAGCCAGACAACAAUGCUUCGAAUACCAAUGCUGCUUAUUCAGUGAAUGAGCCUCUCUGGACUUAAGUUUCAUCAUUUGUAAAAUGGGAACAAUUCCUACCUUGCACCAUUGUGAAGAUUUGAGUAAACACACAUGGGGUACAUAGUACAGUGCCUGGCACAUAGCAGGUACUUUCUGAGGGACGCUUUACCAUCAUCAUCCUCUCCCACAGCACCUAGCUCAGGGAUAGGUCAUCGCUUGCUUGAUUUAACUUAUCUUUGAUUUGCCCACAGUACCUAACAUGAUACCUUACACAGAGCAGAUGUCGCUGUUUGCAGCUGGUUGAGAGAGUUAGAGAGGAAAUGCCAUGAAAAACUGCUUGGUCACAGG